AAAGAGAAAAUUUUAUGGAAAAGCAUUCAAGCCAUUUAGGAUGUUGCUGCUAAAGAAUUUUUUUUUUAAUCCUCGCUACUUAGGAGACAGAGAUAAACAAUAUUAACCAAGAUGAAGAUUAUGAAUGAGAACCAAAUAGAAAUUCUGGAGUUGAAAACUAGGAUAACUGAAAUGAAAAACUCAUCGGAGGCAUUCAACAGUAGGUUUGACAAUGCAGAAGAAUGAGCAAAUUUAAAGACAGAUUGAUUGACAUAAUCUGAGAAGCAAAAAGAAGAAAAAUAAAUUUUCUGCAUGCCGUUUUGAGCACCACCAAAUGCACCAGCAUCUGUAGAAAGGGAGACCUCUGGUACAUCAUCAAAUAUACCCAUGUGUGCAUGAAGGGAGUUCCAGGAGGAAAGGAAAAGCGGAAAAGGGCAGGACAUUUUUGAAGAAAUAUUGGCCAAAAGUUUGCAAAUGUGAUGAAAUUCUUCAUCUAUACAUCCAAAGAAAUCAAUGAACUUGAAGUCAGUGUGUGUGUAGGGGGACAGACCACGGGAGGGAGGGCUGCCCUGGGAAGCACAUUAUUAGCCAAAAGAAAUUUAGGUGAUAGUAAUGUGUGGCUCUUUUACAUUAAGCUAUGGUUUCCUACAAGCAUCUGAACACAGCAGCGUCUCUACGUGCAUGACUGCUUACCCACAAAGUGUAUUGAGUGCUUUCCACAAUCGCCUUGACCAUUGCCUUGAAGCACUGCCCCAAGCUGCAUGAACUCUAGCUAUGCCACUGCUCUGAGUAUGGUA